rnacentral:rRNA from 1 species
UACGGGGGGGGCAAGCGUUGUUCGGAAUUACUGGGCGUAAAGGGCUCGUAGGCGGCCAACUAAGUCAGACGUGAAAUCCCCAGGCUCAACCUGGGAACUGCGUCUGAUACUGGAUGGCUUGAAUCCGGGAGAGGGAUGCAGAAUUCCAGGUGUAGCGGUGAAAUGCGUAGAUAUCGGGAGGAACACCAGUGGCGAAAGCGGCUCUCUGGGGGCGAUCUGACGCUGAGGCGCGAAAGCGUGGGGAGCAAACCGG